CGCUGGCGGCGUGCCUAAUACAUGCAAGUCGAACGCACUCUCGUUUAGAUUGAAGGAGCUUGCUCCUGAUUGAUAAACAUUUGAGUGAGUGGCGGACGGGUGAGUAACACGUGGGUAACCUGCCCUAAAGUGGGGGAUAACAUUUGGAAACAGAUGCUAAUACCGCAUAAAACCUAACACCGCAUGGUGUAGGGUUGAAAGAUGGUUUCGGCUAUCACUUUGGGAUGGACCCGCGGUGCAUUAGUUAGUUGGUGAGGUAAAGGCUCACCAAGACCGUGAUGCAUAGCCGACCUAAGAGGGUAAUCGGCCACACUGGGACUGAGACACGGCCCAGACUCCUACGGGAGGCAGCAGUAGGGAAUCUUCCACAAUGGACGAAAGUCUGAUGGAGCAACGCCGCGUGAGUGAAGAAGGUUUUCGGAUCGUAAAACUCUGUUGUUGGAGAAGAAUGUAUCUGAUAGUAACUGAUCAGGUAGUGACGGUAUCCAACCAGAAAGCCACGGCUAACUACGUG
rnacentral:rRNA from 1 species